UUGGAGGGCAAGUCUGGUGCCAGCAGCCGCGGUAAUUCCAGCUCCAAUAGCGUAUAUUAAAGUUGCUGCAGUUAAAAAGCUCGUAGUUGAAUUUCGGGACCAAUAUGUCGGUCGUGCCUCGGUACGUACUGGCAUCGUUGGUUUCUCCCUUCUGACGAACCAUGAUGUCAUUUAUUUGGUGUCGUGGGGAAUCAGGACUGUUACUUUGAAAAAAUUAGAGUGUUUAAAGCAGGCUCACGCUUGAAUACAUUAGCAUGGAAUAAUGAAAUAGGACGUUUGAUUCUAUUUUGUUGGUUUCUAGGAUUGACGUAAUGAUUAAUAGGGAUAGUAGGGGGCAUUAGUAUUCAAUUGUCAGAGGUGAAAUUCUUGGAUUUAUUGAAGACUAACUACUGCGAAAGCAUUUGCCAAGGAUGUUUUCAUUAAUCAAGAACGAAAGUUAGGGGAUCGAAGACGAUCAGAUACCGUCGUAGUCUUAACCAUAAACUAUGCCGACUAGGGAUCGGAUGAUGUUAAUUUUUUAAUGACUCAUUCGGCGCCUUACGGGAAAC
rnacentral:rRNA from 1 species